rnacentral:rRNA from 1 species
UACAGAGGGGGCAAGCGUUAUUCGGAAUUAUUGGGCGUAAAGGGCGCGUAGGCGGCUUGGCAAGUGGAAGGUGAAAUCCCUCGGCUUAACCGAGGAACUGCCUCCCAAACUGCUUGGCUUGAGACCAGGAGAGGUGAGUGGAAUUCCCAGUGUAGCGGUGAAAUGCGUAGAUAUUGGGAGGAACACCAGUGGCGAAGGCGGCUCACUGGACUGGUACUGACGCUGAUGCGCGAAAGCGUGGGGAGCAAACAGG